UACAGAGGGGGCAAGCGUUAUUCGGAAUUAUUGGGCGUAAAGGGCGCGUAGGCGGCUUUGCAAGUGGCGGGUGAAAUCCCUCGGCUUAACCGAGGAACUGCCUGCCAGACUGUGAGGCUUGAGACCGGGAGAGGUGAGUGGAAUUCCCAGUGUAGCGGUGAAAUGCGUAGAGAUGUGGAGGAACACCGAUGGCGAAGGCAGCCUUCUGGGCCAACACUGACGCUCAUGCACGAAAGCGUGGGGAGCAAACAGG
rnacentral:rRNA from 1 species